CUCAACCCCAGAAAGGCAAGAAACCAGGGUACAGAAACAGAUUGGUCCAUAUUGUACGGCUGGAAGUGGGUAGUGGCCCAGCACUUGCCGGGAAGAAGGGACAGUCUGACUUCUAGAUGGGCCCUUCCUGGGGCCUCCCGGGAGCAGGACGCCUUAUCUGCCCGGCUCCCCAGCUCCCACACGCUUUGGCAGGAGCAGGAUGAGCCAGGGGCGGGAGGAGGACUGGGCUGGGGUGUGGGGACAUCACAACAGCUCCCGCCUGGUGGCUGUUUUGUUGACUUUGGACAGGCCUUCCCGGAACCCAGAGUCAGUCAUUCUGGGGGCAGACAGCAAAAGGGCCGUCAGGAGCUGGAGGGCGGCAGGCCCCAGGCCUGACCAGUCUACUCCGGCUCUGCCCCCAUAAUAGCCUGGCCUUGCCACUCCCACCCAGGGCCACCCUGGCAGUCCCUCCGGUGGCCUUAACCCAGCCUGCGGGUCAGCAACCCCACCCCUCGCCGGCCCCGCCCCUCCAGCCGCCUACACUUGCUCCAUCUGCACGUCCUCCUCAUCCUCCUGGGGCAGCUGCAGGUACGGGUUGUCCCCUGCUGGCUGGAACUUGUAGCCGGUGAGCACGAAGAAGGCAAGCGUGGAGCCCUCCACCAGGAGCUGCAGGCAGGGGCGGCGCGGGCGUCACGCACCCCCACGCCGCUCGGGCCCGCCCUCCCGCCACACCUGGAGCUUCCCAAGGCUCACCUGGAUGUACUUAAUGAAGGCCCAGCCCGAGCCGAUCAGCGCGAUGGUGAUGAAGAGCAGCGCACCCUUCAGCCUGGGGGCACGGGCAUCUGAUGAGCGGGGGCCUUCCCUGCCUGCCUCCCCGCCCGGCAGAGGGGGCACUCACAGAGCACAGACACCCAGAAGAUGCCGGCGGCCAGGAAGCAGGCAGACAUGACCAGGUAUAGCUUGAAGAGGGGAAUUUCUGCGGCCGACAGGAAGCCGUCAGGGUUCUUCUCCCGGAUCAUCACUAAGGAGGGGGCAGGUGGUCACAGGGCCCUAGCUCUGGACUUGGAGAGCCAGCGCCUGCCAAGUCUCCAGCUCUCCUACUUUCUGGCUGGGCAACUUGCCCUUGUGAGUCUCAGUAUUCUCCAUCUCUCAAAUGGGUGCACAGUCAUCCCUUGGUAUUCCUUGGGGGCUUGGUUCUAGGACCCUGUGGACACUGAAGUCUGAGUUGCUCCAGUCCCUUAUAUAAAAUGGUGUAGCAUCUGCAUAGAGCCUGCCCACACCCUCCCACAGUUGGCAAAUCCUCUGACAGGGGACCAAGAAGCUGCGCUGGGUGGUGCUCCCGCCCCUCCGCAACCUCAGCAGUCGGAUUGCGCCCCUCUGCUCACAGUGAUGUCGAAUGGCCGCUCCCGGCCUGGCAUGGAGUUGUAGCAGUUGUGGAAGUUGAGGCUGUACUGGCCUUCCUCUGCCCUGGAGCCGAUCACCACGUGGAACUGGGCAGGGCAGAGCAGAGAAGGUCUCAGCCUGGAGUCCCCAGCUGUCGGGGAGGCCAGGCUGUGGGCACCAGAGACUCACACUGAAGUUGUAGGAGUCGUCGAGGUGGCCCAGGCCCAACACCAGCUCCUUGUCUUUCCCACUGGGGCCCUGGGGGGACAGAGUCCUUCCAUCAGCUGGCCUUUCCAGAUGGCCCAGGCUCAGGUCCCCAUGCACCCCAGGGCUAGGUCUCUCUCCCUCCCACCCUGGCUCACCGAACCUGAGACACUGCGAGUUCUGCCUUGGCUUUGUUGACCGUGGGGGUUCCUCGAGGAGAAGGGUGAGUGAUUUUAAGAGGAGCAGUCAGAGGAAUGGCAAAAAAUGGAGGAGCCCUGCCCAUCCUCCUCCCCGGCAGCCAGCCCGACUCACCACUCUCUGCCUCGGGGGUGACUGUGGGCUCUGGCCUUGGGAGCACUGGCUUGGGAGUCUCUUCGGGGAGAAGCCCAGGAGAGAUGAACAACUUCUUCUGCUCUCCAUAUUUUCGUACCUGGACCCUGGGUGAGAAGCAGGGGCCUGAGCCCGGGGUCAGGCAUACAACCUGUGCUGAAGGAUGCCAUGGCCCCUCGGGCGCUCUGCAUCUCCUCCCUGGUGACAGCACCUGGCUGAGCCUGGGGCCACCUCCCAUCAGGGCGAGCCCCUCACUGCACUGCUGCGCACUGGGGACUACCAGGUCCUGCCCACUGACGCGCCCGUCCAUGUGAGCACCUCACUCUGUACCCACAGUGAGGCAGCAAGGUGCAGAGUCCCUGGCACCAGGCAGCUUGGGUCUGAAUCCCAGUUCCUGGGACUGUUUUCUGCUCUGAAGAACGGGCAUAACCACAGCGGAAGGAUGGUAGGUUCAUGUGUGUGUGAGCUCCCGGGCACCUCCUGGAGCGCAGGAAGCACGCCGCAAGGACUGAUGGCUAGGUUACCGAUUCUCACAGCCAGUGUCUGGUCUUCUGCUGAGCCCCCAACAUGCCCUGGGUACCCUCUCCUCUCCUUCCUUCCAGUCUCAGAAGGCUGGAAGCAGACACUAAGCAGUGUCUCCCAGGGGCUCAAAGGCCUUUUCAGCUGGUCUCCUGUUCCUCCUGAUCAGCUCAGCCCAUGGGGCAUCACGCUCGGGAAACACCCACUUGGAUCUUCUUCAGCCAGUCCUGCCCCAACUCACUGCAGAUCCUUGGUGUCGAUGAGGAACAGGACCAGGAAGCUGAUACUGUUUCUUUGUAGAGGACAGUCAUGGUCUCUUCUUGUCCCCACCUCUGGGGAACAACAGGUUCUAGAGGCAGGAGACAGACAUCACCCGUCACCAUGGUCCCUCCUUCCCUCCCCACCCCUCCACUCACUGAGUAGGAGCGAAUGCCACCAGAUCGAACCCGGCUCAGACUGAACCCACCUGGUGGGUGAAUGAAAAAUGGAAGAUGUGAGGGACUCCAGAGCCACCUCUUUCCCAGCAACAGAAAUGUAGCUCUCUCCAUUUGUGUACAAAGUGUCAAAACGCAUUCCACUGUCUUGUAUAACUAAUUAGAACAAAAU